CCAAUAGCGUAUAUUAAAGUUGUUGCAGUUAAAAAGCUCGUAGUUGAAUUUCGGGGUUCUACCGUUGGUCGGGCAAUUGUCUGUACUGGCGUGUGGAAUUUCUACCUUCUGGGGAACCAUCAUGUUAUUAAUUUAGCGUGGUGGGAAACCAGGACCUUUACCUUGAAAAAAUUAGAGUGUUCAAAGCAGGCUUACGUCUGAAUACAUUAGCAUGGAAUAAUAAAAUAGGACGGUGGUCCUGUUUCGUUGGUUUCUGAAUCACCGUAAUGAUUAAUAGGGAUAGUUGGGGGCAUUAGUAUUCAAUUGUCAGAGGUGAAAUUCUUGGAUUUAUUGAAGACUAACUUCUGCGAAAGCAUUUGCCAAGGAUGUUUUCAUUAAUCAAGAACGAAAGUUAGGGGAUCGAAGACGAUCAGAUACCGUCGUAGUCUUAACCAUAAACUAUGCCGACUAGGGAUCGGACGAUGUUAAUUUUUCUUGACUCGUUCGGCGCCUUACG
rnacentral:rRNA from 1 species